CAGGAAUCCUUCAUCAGGACGUCCUGAAGUUCACUGGAGCGCUGAAGGAACUGGAUCUCAAAGUCUCAAACACUGAACAGAACUACCGAAAUGAUCUCCUGGUGUAUUUUUUCGGUCACGUCCCGUGCCAGAUUCAGAUGAAGAGUGGCCCAAACAGAUGGACACAGCUUCAGUCAGACUCACUUUACAAGGCUGUCAGAGAUGCAGGCGUCAGCUGCGAGAAACGAGCGCAUGGAGCUGGAGAGAGAACUCAAUCUUCACCGACAAGAAAAAAUAGGCCUGUGGAAAGCGCUGCCUCCGGGCGCUGACGUCCUCGCAGAUGUGUGCACAAGAGAAGUUUGAAAUGGACUAACCAAGAUGCUGCCCUGCACAGGUCAGUACAGAUGAUCUUUUUUAAGUACUUAAAUGAUAUGAAUUAUAAUAAUA
rnacentral:lncRNA from 1 species